CGUGUAGGCGGUUAGGUAGGUCCGUUGUGAAAACUCGAGGCUCAACCUCGAGACGCCGAUGGAAACCCCCCUAACUAGAGUCCGGAAGAGGAGAGUGGAAUUCCUGGUGUAGCGGUGAAAUGCGCAGAUAUCAGGAAGAACACCCGUGGCUAAGGCGGCUCUCUAGUACGGUACUGACGCUGAGACGCGAAAGCGUGGGGAGCGAACA
rnacentral:rRNA from 1 species